GAUGAACGCUAGCGGCAGGCUUAACACAUGCAAGUCGAGGGGUAUAGUUCUUCGGAACUAGAGACCGGCGCACGGGUGCGUAACGCGUAUGCAAUCUACCUUUCACAGAGGGAUAGCCCAGAGAAAUUUGGAUUAAUAUCUCAUAGUAUUACGACUUGGCAUCAAGAUGUAAUUAAAGAUUUAUCGGUGAAAGAUGAGCAUGCGUCCCAUUAGCUAGUUGGUAUGGUAACGGCAUACCAAGGCAACGAUGGGUAGGGGUCCUGAGAGGGAGAUCCCCCACACUGGUACUGAGACACGGACCAGACUCCUACGGGAGGCAGCAGUGAGGAAUAUUGGACAAUGGGCGCAAGCCUGAUCCAGCCAUGCCGCGUGCAGGAUGACUGCCCUAUGGGUUGUAAUCUGCUUUUAUACAGGAAGAAACCCUACCACGUGUGGUAGAUUGACGGUACUGUAGGAAUAAGGAUCGGCUAACUCCGUGCCAGCAGCCGCGGUAAUACGGAGGAUCCAAGCGUUAUCCGGAAUCAUUGGGUUUAAAGGGUCCGUAGGCGGUUUUAUAAGUCAGUGGUGAAAUCUUUCGGCUCAACCGAGAAAUGGCCAUUGAUACUGUAAGACUUGAAUUAUUAUGAAGUAACUAGAAUAUGUAGUGUAGCGGUGAAAUGCUUAGAUAUUACAUGGAAUACCAAUUGCGAAGGCAGGUUACUAAUAAUUGAUUGACGCUGAUGGACGAAAGCGUGGGUAGCGAACA
rnacentral:rRNA from 1 species